rnacentral:snRNA from 1 species
NNNNCAGAGAAGAUUAGCAUGGCCCCUGCACAAGGAUGACACGCUAGUUCAGAGUGGACGGUCUACGGACCGCAAUAUUUAUUU